rnacentral:lncRNA from 1 species
AUUAAUUUGGAUUUAAUAUUAACUAACGUUUCAAUAUGACAUUUACUGAGUAUGAUAUUGGUAUUUGCUUUAAGUAGGGGAAACACACACACAUACACAAUUUUAACCAGUUAAAACUAACUUGCAGACAUUAUAAUAUUUUAUCCACAUAAAAACAAAGAUCUUACCCUCUAAGCUAGUAGAACCAUGGAAAUAUGGGUUGUACAAAUUUCUUUUUUUCUGCCUCUUUUUCUCUAGGAAACCUGUCUUGAAAGAAUGUGUUUUAAUAUGAGUAUUCCUGACACCUAAGAGAUAAAAGAGGAAAUCUUUGAGAGAAAAACUGAAAACAUCAGAUGAUUCAAUGAAAAUUACAGCUACUAGAACGGAUAUCAGUAGUGGUGUUUUUAUUGAAACCCAAGGGAGUCAUCUAAAGAAUCUACCACCAUGGAGCAUUUAAAAGUAUAUGAUGCAGACAUUACCAACCAAAACUAAGAACCAUGAACUCCUCAAGUCCACACCACAGGCAUGAGAAGCAGGAUCUGUGAUAAUGAAGUCCAGUAAGCUGUGAAUGACAUCAAAUUCAGAUGAGAUUUCUUUUCUUUCAGAAAACUAUAAGCUCUGUCUUGAGAAAGGAUGACGUGGUACUGACCUCAAUCCUUUCUACUGCUGAUGGUGGUGGUGGUGGUGGUGAUGAAGACGAAGAUGAAGAUGAUGAAGAUGAUGAACACUGCUAUUGAUAACAAUACUGGACA